UACGAAGGGUGCAAACGUUGCUCGGAUUCACUGGGCGUAAAGGGUGCGUAGGCGGCCGGGUAAGUCUGAUGUGAAAUCCCGCAGCUUAACUGCGGAACUGCAUCGGAUACUCUCCGGCUAGAGGAAUGGAGGGGAGACUGGAAUUCUCGGUGUAGCAGUGAAAUGCGUAGAUAUCGAGAGGAACACCAGUGGCGAAGGCGAGUCUCUGGACAUUUCCUAACGCUGAGGCACGAAAGCCAGGGGAGCAAACGGG
rnacentral:rRNA from 1 species